rnacentral:rRNA from 1 species
GGUUGUCGUCAGCUCGUGUCGUGAGAUGUUGGUUAAGUCCCGCAACGAGCGCAACCCCUAUUGUUAGUUGCCAUCAUUCAGUUGGGCACUCUAGCGAGACUGCCGGUAAUAAACCGGAGGAAGGUGGGGAUGACGUCAAAUCAUCAUGCCCCUUAUGACCUGGGCUACACACGUGCUACAAUGGUUGGUACAACGAGUUGCGAGUCGGUGACGGCGAGCUAAUCUCUUAAAGCCAAUCUCAGUUCGGAUUGUAGGCUGCAACUCGCCUACAUGAAGUCGGAAUCGCUAGUAAUCGCGGAUCAGCACGCCCGCGGUCGAAUACGUUCCGGCCUU